AUGCUAUACCAUGUCAAUACAAAGGAUUCACUGUUGACCAGUUGGCUCCCUCCUCUGGCUCACAGGGAGAAUGAUCAGCAUUGCAAAGACAUUGCACAACCACAUUUUCAAUGCGUGAGUGGGUCCCACAAGACUGUCAGACGUGCUCCCUCUACUGCUCCAAGCGGCGCAGGCCACAGAAACAGGAAUUGCUGCGUCGUCCUUGCAAAGCCUCUGCUUCCUCUUUAAGAAACCACUGAUAUUUGAACUUCUCGAACGUCGUUGACUUCCCACUUUGAUCUCAGUCCAAGUCAGCUGGAGAGCAGGUUAGUCAUCCCGUCUUUGAGGUCACUGAGGAUGUUUACUAACUCUUGAGCAUACCUUGGGAUAUAUUCACACUCAUUUAUCUGUAUUUGUAGGAAUUCUUCCUAAAUAUAACUAUUGUCUUUACACUCUUAUUUUUUAUGAGCUGGCCAAAUGAAAUGACCAAGCUAAAGCCUUUAUACACAUGUCACAGGAGCAGUGUUUGUGUUGUAAAACAACCAGGCUGUUUGUGUGACUCCAAUUUAGGAACUGACAGGUUCAGUGAACUUUCCCUUCCUUAUCAAAUAUAAGAUGACUUACUCACUCAACUUUUUACUGGAACCACCAAGGGCCUGCUGAAAUCCGAUUGAUUCUUGUAAAGAGAGUUUAUUCACAGUCAAAGUUUCUGACUAACAAGCAUUGUGAGUUUCAUUAAAGUUAUUAUAUUUAUUGUUUUUAUAAACAACGGGUUGAAAUUACUAUUGCUUGAUUGAAAAGGUUCCUUUGCAUAAGUGCACCAAUAGAGAAUUAUAACCUGACUCAGCAGUUUCACUCAGCUCUGUAGGUUUUCUUUGUCAGAGCAGUGUUUCGAGCUGCAGCAGUUGUAUUUUUUUCCCGUCAGAAAGACAAGGCAGCAACCUGUUGAGCAUGCUGUUGUUGAGAUUUAGCAGCACAAAAGACAAAUUUCUCCUUUUGGAGUCAUAAGGGGUAGAGAAAAAUAUCUAAUUAAUGCUAAUCUUAAAUAUGAUCAAUUGCAUAAAAUAGCUUUCUUACAUGUGAUGUAUCACGUGACUUACAUUACCUCAGUGCCCUUACUGCCCUGAUGCAUGUGAAUAUGGGUCCUCGUGCACAUGCUCAUAGGUCAUGAUAAACAAACAAGGUAUCGUUUAGGAAAAUACUGUUUCCACAGCACCAGUGGGCAAACACCCCACUAUAUGAUAACUGUGAUGGUUGUUUCUUUAUUAUAUUUAUAAAGUAAUGCAUUUUAUUCUACCAAAAGUAUUGAAAUUAUCUUAAGACAAGCGUAUUCUUUUGAUAAAAGCUAAUAUCAAAAUGUGUGGGUUAUCUAAUGCUUUACUUUUUUUUUGUAAGAUGGCUUCCUAAGUACUUCCAUCUUUGUAUUCAGACGUGUGUGUCGCUUGGUAGCACAGCAUGAACAGCUAUGAUCAUGUUUGGCCAAACAUCCAUGAAUAGGGACGGCUGGGCAACGGGGGUGCCUCUGAAUACAGAGUUGGUGACUGGCUGCAGCCAUGGGACAAUGCCAUCACAUGUGUAGACCGAGCGGCCACACUCCUGGAACACACACACACACACACACACACUAUUGUCUUUGCCAACUGGAAAUCUGCUUCCCUCACACACCCUUUCUUACUUUUGUUGCAUUUUUCCACAAACACAUACAGUAAUUUUACUUCUAUUUUUAAUCUUACUGUCCUAUCUGGAAGCCUCUCACAACGGGUGCGACACGCAGCAUGCCUUGAAAACGUGCAGGAGCGCAUGAGAGAGGACGCGGAAAGGAAAAAAAAAAAAAAAAGUUUGUCCAACUCCAAGAGCCAGAGAGGUCACAGGAACAACAC
rnacentral:lncRNA from 1 species